rnacentral:tRNA from 1 species
GGGCUUGUAGCUCAGUUGGUUAGAGCACGCGCCUGAUAAGCGCGAGGUCGGUAGUUCGAGCCUACUCAAGCCCACCA